AUGCACGCUGGCGGCGUGCUUAACACCUGCAAGUCGAACGAAGCACUUUAUUUGAUUUCCUUCGGGACUGAUUAUUUUGUGACUGAGUGGCGGACGGGUGAGUAACGCGUGGGUAACCUGCCUUGUACAGGGGGAUAACAGUUGGAAACGGCUGCUAAUACCGCAUAAGCGCACAGCAUCGCAUGAUGCAGUGUGAAAAACUCCGGUGGUAUAAGAUGGACCCGCGUUGGAUUAGCUAGUUGGUGAAGUAACGGCCCACCAAGGCGACGAUCCAUAGCCGACGUGAGAGGGUGACCGGCCACAGUGGAAGUGAGACCCGGCCCAAACUCUUAAGGAAGGGAGCAAUGGGGAAUAGUACACAAUGGGCGAAAGACUGAUGCAGCGACGCAGCGUGAGCGAAGAAGUAUAUCGGUAUGUAAAGCUCUAUCAGCAGGGAAGAUAAUGACGGUACCUGACUAAGAAGCACCGGCUAAAUACGUG
rnacentral:rRNA from 1 species